rnacentral:rRNA from 1 species
UGGGGAAUUUUGGACAAUGGGCGCAAGCCUGAUCCAGCCAUGUCGCGUGCGGGAAGAAGGCCUCGGGUUGUAAACCGCUUUUGUCAGGGAAGAAAUCUUCUGAGUUAAUACCUCGGGAGGAUGACGGUACCUGAAGAAUAAGCACCGGCUAACUACGUGCCAGCAGCCGCGGUAAUACGUAGGGUGCAAGCGUUAAUCGGAAUUACUGGGCGUAAAGCGUGCGCAGGCGGUUUUGUAAGACAGAGGUGAAAUCCCCGGGCUCAACCUGGGAACUGCCUUUGUGACUGCAAGGCUUGAGUGCGGCAGAGGGGGGAUGGAAUUCCGCGUGUAGCAGUGAAAUGCGUAGAUAUGCGGAGGAACACCGAUGGCGAAGGCAAUCCCCUGGGCCUGCACUGACGCUCAUGCACGAAAGCGUGGGGAGCAAACAGGAUUAGAUACCCUGGUAGUCCACGCCCUAAACGAUGUCAACUGGUUGUUGGGAAGGUUCCUUCUCAGUAACGUAGCUAACGCGUGAAGUUGACCGCCUGGGGAGUACGGCCGCAAGGUUG